UACGUAGGGGGCUAGCGUUGUCCGGAUUUAUUGGGCGUAAAGAGCGUGUAGGCGGCCAGGUAGGUCUGCUGUGAAAACUCGAGGCUCAACCUCGAGACGUCGGCGGAAACCAUCUGGCUAGAGUCCGGAAGAGGCGAGUGGAAUUCCUGGUGUAGCGGUGGAAUGCGCAGAUAUCAGGAGGAACACCAAUAGCGAAGGCAGCUCGCUGGGACGUUACUGACACUGAGGCGCGAAAGCGUGGGGAGCGAACAGG
rnacentral:rRNA from 1 species